ACGGCUCAGUAACACGUGGACAACCUAACCUACGGAAGGGGAUAACCCCGGGAAACUGGGGAUAAUACCCUAUAGACUAUGGAUGCUGGAAUGCUCUGUAGCCGAAAGGUCAGCCGCCGUAGGAUGGGUCUGCGGCCGAUUAGGUUGUUGUUGGGGUAACGGCCCAACAAGCCUGUAAUCGGUACGGGUUGUGGGAGCAAGAGCCCGGAGAUGGAUUCUGAGACACGAAUCCAGGCCCUACGGGGCGCAGCAGGCGCGAAAACUUUGCAAUGCGGGAAACCGUGACAAGGGAACUCUGAGUGCCCGUAAAAUCGGGCUGUCCAUCGGUUUAAAUAACCGGUGAAGAAAGGGCCGGGCAAGACCGGUGCCAGCAGCCGCGGUAAUA
rnacentral:rRNA from 1 species